AGUCUUGUAUUCAUUACAUGAUAUUAGAAUGCAAUUCUAAUGGUAUAUAUUUUAUUAAGGCUU
rnacentral:tRNA from 1 species